CGCGUAGGCGGACCUUCAAGUCGGUUGUGAAAACUGGCGGCUUAACUGCCAGCCUGCAUCCGAUACUGUUGGUCUUGAGUACGGGAGAGGAGAGCGGAAUUCCAGGUGUAGCGGUGAAAUGCGUAGAUAUCUGGAAGAACACCUGUAGCGAAGGCGGCUCUCUGGAACGAUACUGACGCUAAAGCGCGAAGGCAUGGGGAGCAAACA
rnacentral:rRNA from 1 species